rfam:Populus trichocarpa scaffold_380_contig_2, whole genome shotgun sequence.
UCUAGAACUCGAGAUAUGGGUUGAACACUGAACAGUGUCUGGGCUGCAGGACAGAUUAUGACUUCUCUGUUGUUGCUACAAUUUAAACUUGAAAAUGGUCCUUUUGAAUCUUUGACUCUUCAUGAAAGUUUUAAGCAUAUGUCUUAGCUUUCUAUC